rnacentral:rRNA from 1 species
GACGUAGGGCGCGAGCGUUGUCCGGAAUUACUGGGCGUAAAGGGCUCGUAGGCGGCCAACUAAGUCAGACGUGAAAUCCCUCGGCUUAACCGGGGAACUGCAUCUGAUACUGGAUGGCUUGAGUUCGGGAGAGGGAUGCGGAAUUCCAGGUGUAGCGGUGAAAUGCGUAGAUAUCUGGAGGAACACCGGUGGCGAAGGCGGCAUCCUGGACCGACACUGACGCUGAGGAGCGAAAGCCAGGGGAGCAAACGGG